rnacentral:misc_RNA from 1 species
UCUCCGUUGGUGAACCAGCGGAGGGAUCAUUACCGAGUUUACAACUCCCAAACCCAAUGUGAACGUUACCAAACUGUUGCCUCGGCGGGGUCACGCCCCGGGUGCGUCGCAGCCCCGGAACCAGGCGCCCGCCGGAGGAACCAACCAAACUCUUUCUGUAGUCCCCUCGCGGACGUUAUUUCUUACAGCUCUGAGCAAAAAUUCAAAAUGAAUCAAACUUUCAACAACGGAUCUCUUGGUUCUG